ACAGCGUCUUUACUCAUCGUUUAGGUUGUUUCAUCUUAUGUCAGAGCACAGUCGAAGGCCGAAUAGGACGCCGAUACGGGUCCUUUUUGGACCCAAGAUAUUAAUCUUAUUUUUGGAAUGCGGCGUAGUGCUUGAGGUUUACCUCACCUGUGCCACGGGUUGGCCCGGCAUUGCACUGCCUCCGGGAUCGGCCCACUUUUU
rfam:Ixodes scapularis strain Wikel colony gcontig_1108379418588, whole genome shotgun sequence.